CCCAGAGAGAAGAUUAGCAUGGCACCUGGACAAGGAUGACAUGCAAAUUCAUGAAGUGUUCCAUAUUUUA
ensembl:snRNA U6 U6 spliceosomal RNA